GUACCAAAUCAAAGCUUUUAGCGAGAUAGUUGCGUUCAACAAUAAUGGCUUCAAUUUCUUCUUCUCCGAGGGCUGCUGCGGCCAUCCUUGUUGUCUUAGCCAUUGUUCUCAUUCCAACGCUGAUGUUGCCAUCUGAGGCAGCGAGACCAACCCGAGAACUUCUGGCGCGACCCCCAAUCUGCCCUGCCUGCGUUUGUUGCGCACCACCGCCCUCCCCGAACAAAUGCUGCCCCUGCGUCUGUUCCACACCUGGGGGACCCCUUGUACCUGUUGCCGGAACUACUUCGCCAUGACUUCUUGAAGGCGCAAGUUUGUUUAAUUUGCUACGGAAUCCUGUAGCUGUGUAUGCACUUCUAUCUUAUCUUAUAAAUAAGUGUAUGAAUAAGAACUUCUCAGAUUAUGGAUAUCAUGUGGAAGUGACUUACGUACUUCACUAAUGAAUCAAGGGAUUUUGGUUAUCAGUUUGCAUA